UUACCUCUAACUGGGACAUAGCCCGAACAAAUUCGGAUUAAUAUCCCAUAAUAUAUUGAAGAGGCAUCUCUUUAAUAUCAAAGCUCAGGCGGUUAGAGAUGGGCAUGCGUGUCAUUAGCUUGUUGGUGAGGUAACGGCUCACCAAGGCUACGAUGACUAGGGGGUCUGAGAGGAUGAUCCCCCACACUGGUACUGAGACACGGACCAGACUCCUACGGGAGGCAGCAGUGAGGAAUAUUGGGCAAUGGACGCAAGUCUGACCCAGCCAUGCCGCGUGCAGGAUGACGGCCCUAUGGGUUGUAAACUGCUUUUAUUAGGAAAGAAUGGUUCCUACGUGUAGGGAUUUGACGGUACCUAAAGAAUAAGCAUCGGCUAACUCCGUGCCAGCAGCCGCGGUAAUACGGAGGAUGCAAGCGUUAUCCGGAUUCAUUGGGUUUAAAGGGUGCGCAGGCGGAAUAUUAAGUCAGUGGUGAAAUCCUGCAGCUUAACUGUAGAACUGCCAUUGAUACUGGUAUUCUUGAAUAUAGUUGAGGUGGGCGGAAUGUGUAAUGUAGCGGUGAAAUGCUUAGAUAUUACACAGAACACCGAUUGCGAAGGCAGCUCACUAAACUAAUAUUGACGCUGAGGCACGAAAGCGUGGGGAGCGAACAGGAUUAGAUACCCUGGUAGUCCACGCUGUAAACUAUGAUCACUCGCUGUUGGCUAUACAUCGUCAGCGGCUGAGCGAAUGCAUUAAGUGAUCCACCAGCGGAGUGCGGUCUCAAGAUUUAAACUCAAAGGAAUUGUCGGGGGCCCGCACAAGCGGAGGAACAUGUGGUUUAAUUCGAUGAUACGCGAGGAACCUUACCUGGGCUUAAAUGCAGGACGACGUUCGCCUAAAGGUGAAUUUCUUCGGACGGACUGCAAGGUGCUGCAUGGCUGUCCUCAGCUCGUGCCGUGAGGUGUCGGGUUAAGUCCCAUAAGGAGCGCAAGCCUUAUCGUUAGUUGCCAGCGGGUAAUGCCGGUGACUCUAACGAAACUGCCGGUGUAAGCCGUGAGGAAGGUGGG
rnacentral:rRNA from 1 species